CCAAGUGCCUUGGAACAGGAUACCGCAGAGGGUGAGAGUCCCGUAUCCGGCCGACGCAGCGCUCCGUGUGAGGCCUCUUCGACGAGUCGAGUUGUUUGGGAAUGCAGCUCUAAGUGGGUGGUAAAUUCCAUCUAAAGCUAAAUACUGGCCAGAGACCGAUAGCGAACAAGUAGAGUGAUCGAAAGAUGAAAAGCACUUUGAAAAGAGAGUUAAACAGUACGUGAAAUUGUUGAAAGGGAAGCGCAUGGGGGCAGACUUGGACGCGGGGUUCAGGGUUUCCUUGUUUGGAGGCGUGUACUUCCCCGCGGACAGGCCAGCAUCGGNUCUGGGGGCCGGACAAAGGCGACGGGAACGUGGCUCUCUUCGGGGAGUGUUAUAGCCCGACGUGCAAUGCGGCCACCUGGGACCGAGGACCGCGCUUCGGCAAGGAUGCUGGCGUAAUGGCCUCAUGC
rnacentral:rRNA from 1 species